rnacentral:lncRNA from 1 species
CUAUUAUUAUGUAUUAUCCAUGGAUAUAUUGUUGUAAUGUAACCUAGGUAUGAACAUAAUCUUUAAAUAGGUCCCAAAGUACAAGCAAGCGUAUGAUCGAAAUUGUUCUCACACAUGAAUGAUGCGAAGACAUCAAGUAAAGAGAUUCAAAAAAGAAGCUGCAUUUCAACCAUCCAAAAUAGCAACAAGCAUCCGACCAAGUCCUUAUCCACCCAUCCAUCUCAUAAGAAACUAGAAGCCCUACUACAAGUUCUCCAU